rnacentral:rRNA from 1 species
GACCGGCGCACGGUGAGUAACGCGUAUCCAACCUGCCCUUUACUAUGGGACAGCCCGUCGAAAGGCGGAUUAAUACCGUAUGUUGUCAUGUUGAUGCAUAUUUUCAUGACCAAAGGCUUCGGCCGGUAAAGGAUGGGGAUGCGUCUGAUUAGCUUGCCGGCGGGGUAACGGCCCACCGGGGCGACGAUCAGUAGGGGUUCUGAGAGGAAGGUCCCCCACAUUGGAACUGAGACACGGUCCAAACUCCUACGGAAGGCAGCAG